CGGGGGCUGUAAAGCUCUCGUCUACACCCAUGUCUUUUGCGUACUCUUGUUUCCUCGGUGGCGCAAGCUGCCGAUUGGACAAACCAAAACCUUUUUUGUAAUUGCAAUCAGCGUCUGAAAAUAAUCUAAUUAUUUACAACUUUCAACAACGGAUCUCUUGGUUCUGGCAUCGAUGAAGAACGCAGCGAAAUGCGAUAAGUAGUGUGAAUUGCAGAAUUCAGUGAAUCAUCGAAUCUUUGAACGCACAUUGCGCCCCUUGGUAUUCCAUGGGGCAUGCCUGUUCGAGCGUCAUUUGUACCCUCAAGCUUUGCUUGGUGUUGGGCGUCUUGUCGUAUUACGACUCGCCUUAAAUUCAUUGGCAGCCGGCACUUUGGCCUAGGAGCGCAGCACAUUUUGCGAUCGUAGCCCGUUGUACUGGCGUCCAUCAAGAACAUUUACCACGUUUGACCUCGGAUCAGGUAGGGAUACCCGCUGAACUUAAGCAUAUCAAA
rnacentral:rRNA from 1 species